rnacentral:misc_RNA from 1 species
UCUCCGUUGGUGAACCAGCGGAGGGAUCAUUACCGAGUUAUCAACUCCCAAACCCCUGGGAACAUACCCAACGUUGCUUCGGCGGGACCGCCCCGGCGCCCUCGGCGUCCCGGAACCAGGCGCCCGCCGGAGGACCCAAACUCUUGUUUAAACCAUAGUGGCAUAUUCUGAGUCUCACAAGAAAAAUGAAUCAAAACUUUCAACAACGGAUCUCUUGGCUCUG